UACGUAGGGCGCAAGCGUUAUCCGGAAUUAUUGGGCGUAAAGAGCUCGUAGGCGGUUUGUCGCGUCGGCUGUGAAAUCCCGAGGCUCAACCUCGGGUCUGCAGUCGAUACGGGCGGACUUGAGUUCGGCAGGGGAGACUGGAAUUCCUGGUGUAGCGGUGAAAUGCGCAGAUAUCAGGAGGAACACCGAUGGCGAAGGCAGGUCUCUGGGCAUUAACUGACGCUGAGGAGCGAAAGCAUGGGGAGCGAACAGG
rnacentral:rRNA from 1 species